GUGGGGAAUAUUGGACAAUGGGGGGAACCCUGAUCCAGCCAUGCCGCGUGUGUGAAGAAGGCCUUUUGGUUGUAAAGCACUUUAAGCGAGGAGGAGGCUACCGAGAUUAAUACUCUUGGAUAGUGGACGUUACUCGCAGAAUAAGCACCGGCUAACUCUGUGCCAGCAGCCGCGGUAAUACAGAGGGUGCAAGCGUUAAUCGGAUUUACUGGGCGUAAAGCGCGCGUAGGUGGCCAAUUAAGUCAAAUGUGAAAUCCCCGAGCUUAACUUGGGAAUUGCAUUCGGUACUGGUUGGCUAGAGUAUGGGAGAGGAUGGUAGAAUUCCAGGUGUAGCGGUGAAAUGCGUAGAGAUCUGGAGGAAUACCGAUGGCGAAGGCAGCCAUCUGGCCUAAUACUGACACUGAGGUGCGAAAGCAUGGGGAGCAAACAGGAUUAGAAACCCGGGUAGUCC
rnacentral:rRNA from 1 species